rnacentral:rRNA from 1 species
CCUCGGGUGGCUGCAGUGGGGAAUAUUGGACAAUGGGCGAAAGCCUGAUCCAGCCAUGCCGCGUGUGUGAAGAAGGCCUUCGGGUUGUAAAGCACUUUCAGUGGGGAAGAAAGCCUUGGGGCUAAUACCCUCGAGGAAGGACAUCACCCACAGAAGAAGCACCGGCUAACUCCGUGCCAGCAGCCGCGGUAAUACGGAGGGUGCGAGCGUUAAUCGGAAUUACUGGGCGUAAAGCGCGCGUAGGCGGUCUGAUAAGCCGGUUGUGAAAGCCCCGGGCUCAACCUGGGAACGGCAUCCGGAACUGUCCGGCUAGAGUGCAGGAGAGGAAGGUAGAAUUCCCGGUGUAGCGGUGAAAUGCGUAGAGAUCGGGAGGAAUACCAGUGGAGAAGGCGGCCUUCUGGACUGACACUGACGCUGAGGUGCGAAAGCGUGGGUAGCAAACAGGAUUAGAUACCCGAGUAGUC